UUGAAACAUUUGGGGGCAGGACGGAAAAUGUUGAAACAUUUGGGGGCAGGACGGAAUUAACCCAAAAAGAAAAUUCAAAAGUGGGUCUCACAGGAUAUUAGCUCAAGCAAGAAAUCACAUAAGCUAAAGCAGUGGCAUUUAACAGCAAAUUUUUGAAAUACUCUAGUUAAUAAUGUACCUGCAGCUGGGAUUUCAGGGUUUCAAAAGUAUACUGUAAUGUUUAAAGUAUGUAGACCAGCAGAGAUUUUCUGG
rnacentral:lncRNA from 1 species